GUCUUCGUGGAGUAAUCCGGAAACUCACUCCUCUCGAGAGUAGCGUAGAAGUUGUACGGGAGAGUUGUUGGUUCGAGUCCACACGAAGACG